AACUGGCCCACUUCUGAGCUCUGCAGGUGCCUCUGUGCAGAGGGCAGUGGCAUCCAUCCAUCCAUCCAGAGAAGGUCCCGCCUGUGCCCAUCCUCAGCCCCUGCUCAGACCUGCCUCUGCAGCUCAACAUGAACCAGGCCAGCCUGGUUAAACAGGAGGUAAUAAAGCUCUGUGGAUGAUCCCUGGGCGGGGGCCCCCAAGAAAGGUGUGUGUGUAGGAGAGCUAGCCAAGGUGACUGUCCCAGAGGGAAUCAGGACAGAUCGAGAUGGGCAAGGACGCCUUUGGUUGCUGGAGGCAGGAACUGAGGCAGAGGAAGGUUCCUGGGCCUCUGGCUCUUGGCCAUGUCUCCCAGGAUCCAGUUCCUGAGGCUCCCGCACCUCAAACUGGGCAUCGGACCCUUUGGGGCUCCAGACGCCAGAGAAAAGAAGGGCAUAUUCCUGGCUCGGGACCCUGAACUGACUGCCACCACCCUGAAGAUCCUCCACGCCCUUUCCUGUUACCAGCCGCCCCCAACCUCUUCACCUGUUGCCAAAGCCACCACACAUUUGCCACUCAUUUCUGUGGUCUCCGCAGAUGAGAAACGAAAUUUGAACUGAAACACAGGGGCAGAGAAGUGAAGGGUUAAUUUCCAAGAGCACUGCCCAAGUCCCUUCCCUGCUUUCAGCUUCUGUCCAGGAGACAGAGGCCCUCAUCACUGCACCUGCAGGACUCAGCAUCUCAGAAGGUACGGGAAUCAUUCCUCCCCACAUCCAGUGAGCCCUGUACCCCAGGACCAGGACCAACUGCCUUUCCUAAGUGGAAGGAUGUAGGGUUGUCAAUUAUGUCUGGGCCUUCUAGAUUAGUUCAGAGCAGAGGUCAAGGGCAUGGGCUUUGGAGCUGUAUAAUCUUUCCACUUAUGGCACAUGUGACCUUGAGCAAGUUUCUUAGCCUCCCUGAGUUUCAGUUUCCCCGUCUGUGAAAUGGAGACACUGUCUCCCUUACAGAAGAAAAGGACAUAAUGUGUGUCAGUGCUCAGCCCUGCGCCUGCCGCGACAAGCACCUGGGUAUUUACUCUGUUGUUACUGUCUUGCGGUUGGAGGAUAUGGGGAUGGAGUGGCUGAUCCCCACAUUUUCUGCCACCCUCGCCCUCCCCUUGCCAACCUGCUCAACAAGGGGAUCGGCAGUGUUCUCCUCCUUCAUCACGUGCUCCUUCAGCAGUUCUGUCUGCACCAACCCUGGCCAAAGCGACACGUAGCUGACCCCGUGGCACCGCAGCUCCUGGGCACAGUCAGCAGCCAGCCUGUCGCACUGCAGAGGGACAGAAGGCCAGGUGGGAGCCAGGGCACCUGGUCAUGUCACCUCCCUCCCCUGCCUUCCCUGCUUCCACCGAGGAUGCCCCAACCUCCUCGCCUUCCCAGGAGCCCUGUCUCAGCUGUCCACCUUCCCCAGUGCACUGCCUAGGCUGGCCAGCUGAGAGGAGCCCAGGCAAAGGAACCAUCCAUGCAGGGGCAGAGGAAGAGGUGAGGGUCAGUCAGCCUCACCACUCUGACUACCGGGGACUGUCUCUCCUGAGCUAUGGGUACCACGACUGUCCCCAACCCCUGUGCCAGUGGGUCCUCACCGCAGCUUUGCCCACGCCAUAGGGGACGUUGAAGAAAUACUGCAGCCCACCAAUGGAGGAGAUGACCACGAUGAGCCCCCGGCCAGCUGGUACCAUCAGCCGUGCCCCAUACACAGAGCAUAAGUAGUGGCCUCUAGAAGGUGGGGCAAAGAAGAAGGAAUGAACCACAUUCAGGGCUGUCUCGGGAAGUUUCUUCUGCCCCCUAAUGGCUUCUGAUCCAGGAGAAGGCCGCAAACCUGGUGAAUCAAGGGCCUGAGGCCACAUUCUGAGAGGGACAUGGGUAAUAUUAACCACCGAAGGUUAAGAAACAGCAAUCUGUAGAAGACUGUAAUGGAAGAAAAGCACUCUGUCAUGACAGCAAUAACAAAGCUAAAAUAGCUCAGGGGAUAAAACAUAAUAAAUGUAUAGGAUCUACAAGGAAAAACUAUAAAGUUCUGCUUAAUAUAAAAGAACAAGUACAGACAUAAUUUGCUUAGAAGAAUCAACAUGUAAAACAUCAGUUCUACUUAAACUAAUGCACAGGUCCAGUCAAUGGGAGUUAUAUCUCAGUAAGACUCCUGGAGAGAUCAACAGAACAAUCUAAAGCUCAGUGAGAAUAGAUGUGUAAGAAGAGCCAGGAAAAUUCUGAAAAAGGAAGAGUAACAUCGUGUCGGUGAGGGGGAUAUGCUCCCCUCACCCAACCAACCUGCGUUAAAAUGUACAAUGAGGGGCUUUCCUGGUGGCGCAGUGGUUGAGAGUCCGCCUGCCGAUGCAGAGGACACGGGUUCGUGCCCCGGUCCGGGAAGAUCCCACGUGCCGCAGAGCGGCUGGGCCCGUGAGCCAUGGCCACUGAGCCUGCGCGUCCGGAGCCUGUGCUCCGCAAUGGGAGAGGCCACAACAGUGAGAGAGGCCCGCGUACCACAAAAAAAAAAAAAAAAAAAAAAAAGUACAGUGACAUAAUAGUUUAAAAAAUGCAGGACUGGCAUAAUAA